UGGGGAAUAUUGCACAAUGGGGGAAACCCUGAUGCAGCGACGCCGCGUGAGCGAAGAAGGCUUUCGAGUCGUAAAGCUCUGUCCUAUGAGAAGAUAAUGACGGUAUCAUAGGAGGAAGCCCUGGCUAAAUACGUGCCAGCAGCCGCGGUAAUACGUAUGGGGCGAGCGUUGUCCGGAAUUAUUGGGCGUAAAGGGUACGUAGGUGGUUUUUUAAGUCAGGUGUCAAAGCGUGGAGCUUAACUCCAUUAAGCACUUGAAACUGAAAGACUUGAGUGAAGGAGAGGAAAGUGGAAUUCCUAGUGUAGCGGUGAAAUGCGUAGAUAUUAGGAGGAAUACCGGUGGCGAAGGCGACUUUCUGGCCAUAAUCUGACGCUGAGGUACGAAAGCGUGGGUAGCAAACAGG
rnacentral:rRNA from 1 species